UACGUAGGUGGCAAGCGUUGUCCGGAAUCAUUGGGCGUAAAGAGCGCGUAGGCGGUCCGGUAAGUCCGCUCUGAAAGUCCGGGGCUCAACCCCGGGAGGCGGGCGGAUACUGUCGGGCUAGAGUCCGGAAGAGGCGAGUGGAAUUCCUGGUGUAGCGGUGAAAUGCGCAGAUAUCAGGAGGAACAUCAAUGGCGAAGGCAGCUCGCUGGGACGGUACUGACGCUGAGGCGCGAAAGCGUGGGGAGCAAACAGG
rnacentral:rRNA from 1 species